UUUUCGAUGACAAAAAGGAUGGACACUGGAACAUUGGUGGGAAGAAUUAGGGAUGAAAUUAGAGUUUGAAACAUGGCGGGAGCAGGGAUUCCAUUUGACCCAGGCUGAAGUCCGGACAUUUUUGCCUUUCCUUGUUUUAUUUUCUCCCUUCUUUACUUUUAGCACCUUUUUUCUUUGGUGCGUUUUGCUGGCUCUUCCUGAGCAUAUCCUGUACUGUUUUGCCUUCAUACUGAUCAAUUCAUUUGGUAGAUCUCCU
rnacentral:lncRNA from 1 species